rnacentral:rRNA from 1 species
UACGUAGGGGGCUAGCGUUGUCCGGAAUCAUUGGGCGUAAAGAGCGCGUAGGCGGCCAGACAAGUCCGGUGUGAAAGUCACAGGCUCAACCUGUGAAUGCCGCUGGAAACUUUCUGGCUAGAGUCCGGAAGGGGCGAGUGGAAUUCCUGGUGUAGCGGUGAAAUGCGCAGAUAUCAGGAAGAACACCCGUGGCUAAGGCGGCUCUCUAGUACGGUACUGACGCUGAGACGCGAAAGCGUGGGGAGCGAACAGG